rnacentral:tRNA from 1 species
AAACCUAUAAUUAAAUGGUAGAAUAGUACUAUUAUAAAGAAUCUGUAGAAGUUCGAUUCUUCUCCGGCUUA